AUUGAACGCUGGCGGCAGGCCUAACACAUGCAAGUCGAGCGGUAGCACAGGAGAGCUUGCUCUCUGGGUGACGAGCGGCGGACGGGUGAGUAAUGUCUGGGAAACUGCCUGAUGGAGGGGGAUAACUACUGGAAACGGUAGCUAAUACCGCAUAACGUCUUCGGACCAAAGUGGGGGACCUUCGGGCCUCACGCCAUCAGAUGUGCCCAGAUGGGAUUAGCUAGUAGGUGGGGUAAUGGCUCACCUAGGCGACGAUCCCUAGCUGGUCUGAGAGGAUGACCAGCCACACUGGAACUGAGACACGGUCCAGACUCCUACGGGAGGCAGCAGUGGGGAAUAUUGCACAAUGGGCGCAAGCCUGAUGCAGCCAUGCCGCGUGUGUGAAGAAGGCCUUCGGGUUGUAAAGCACUUUCAGCGAGGAGGAAGGGUUCAGUGUUAAUAGCACUGUGCAUUGACGUUACUCGCAGAAGAAGCACCGGCUAACUCCGUGCCAGCAGCCGCGGUAAUACGGAGGGUGCAAGCGUUAAUCGGAAUUACUGGGCGUAAAGCGCACGCAGGCGGUUUGUUAAGUCAGAUGUGAAAUCCCCGCGCUUAACGUGGGAACUGCAUUUGAAACUGGCAAGCUAGAGUCUUGUAGAGGGGGGUAGAAUUCC
rnacentral:rRNA from 1 species